GACGAACGCUGGCGGCGUGCUUAACACAUGCAAGUCGAACGGAAAGGCCCUGCUUUUGUGGGGUGCUCGAGUGGCGAACGGGUGAGUAACACGUGAGUAACCUGCCCUUGACUUUGGGAUAACUUCAGGAAACUGGGGCUAAUACCGGAUAGGAGCUCCUGCUGCAUGGUGGGGGUUGGAAAGUUUCGGCGGUUGGGGAUGGACUCGCGGCUUAUCAGCUUGUUGGUGGGGUAGUGGCUUACCAAGGCUUUGACGGGUAGCCGGCCUGAGAGGGUGACCGGCCACAUUGGGACUGAGAUACGGCCCAGACUCCUACGGGAGGCAGCAGUGGGGAAUAUUGCACAAUGGGCGGAAGCCUGAUGCAGCAACGCCGCGUGCGGGAUGACGGCCUUCGGGUUGUAAACCGCUUUCGCCUGUGACGAAGCGUGAGUGACGGUAAUGGGUAAAGAAGCACCGGCUAACUACGUGCCAGCAGCCGCGGUGAUACGUAGGGUGCGAGCGUUGUCCGGAUUUAUUGGGCGUAAAGGGCUCGUAGGUGGUUGAUCGCGUCGGAAGUGUAAUCUUGGGGCUUAACCCUGAGCGUGCUUUCGAUACGGGUUGACUUGAGGAAGGUAGGGGGGAAUGGAAUUCCUGGUGGAGCGGUGGAAUGCGCAGAUAUCAGGAGGAACACCAGUGGCGAAGGCGGUUCUCUGGGCCUUUCCUGACGCUGAGGAGCGAAAGCGUGGGGAGCGAACAGGCUUAGAUACCCUGGUAGUCCACGCUGUAAACGGUGGGUACUAGGUGUGGGGUCCAUUCCACGGGUUCCGUGCCGUAGCUAACGCUUUAAGUACCCCGCCUGGGGAGUACGGCCGCAAGGCUAAAACUCAAAGGAAUUGACGGGGCCCCGCACAAGCGGCGGAGCAUGCGGACUAAUUCGAUGCAACGCGUAGAACCUUACCUGGGUUUGACAUGGAUCGGGAGUGCUCAGAGAUGGGUGUGCCUCUUUUGGGGUCGGUUCACAGGUGGUGCAUGGCUGUCGUCAGCUCGUGUCGUGAGAUGUUGGGUUAAGUCCCGCAACGAGCGCAACCCUUGUUCACUAUUGCCAGCACGUUAUGGUGGGGACUCAGUGGAGACCGCCGGGGUCAACUCGGAGGAAGGUGGGGAUGACGUCAAGUCAUCAUGCCCCUUAUGUCCAGGGCUUCACGCAUGCUACAAUGGCUGGUACAGAGAGUGGCGAGCCUGUGAGGGUGAGCGAAUCUCGGAAAGCCGGUCUCAGUUCGGAUUGGGGUCUGCAACUCGACCUCAUGAAGUCGGAGUCGCUAGUAAUCGCAGAUCAGCAACGCUGCGGUGAAAUACGUUCCCGGGGCU
rnacentral:rRNA from 1 species